ensembl:lncRNA
GGAGGUGACAGCGACGCCUCAGCCGCCUCUGUUGCUCUCGGAGCCCCUGCUUCCCCUGCACUGGGAAAGCGCCCCCUCCCGAGAGGCUUGUCUCUGGAGAAGUGCGAACGAGCUGCAGAAAACCAAAUUUUAAAAUGUAGAAGUCGUUGAGCUGCAUUCCUCCAAGGACCAGUCUGAUCGCCCAGGACUGAGAGUGGCAGCGUUUGAGAAGUUGGGACCAUAGAGCAAGGGGGGGGAGGGGAGUGUUGCAGCAGGCAUUCCCUUCUGGAAGGAGUCGCUGGGAGCAGUGCGGUUGGACACAAGUUUGCGUAGGAGUGUUUUCCUUUUGUCAAUAAUUAAUCACCGGAAUUAGCCGGGUAGAAUUUGAGUUUUAGCAAUAGUCCUGAGGGCGGGGCCGAACACCUAACUCCGGGAGGCUCCCAGGCGCCCGGCACAGUGGGAAGCUCGCAGCAGCUGGGGAGGAGCCAAAGCCUCGGCGCUCACCUAAGCCGCAGGGAGAUACACCCAACUAGGAGAUGAGGAAACAGCAACCCAGAGAGGAGAAGUAACCCACACUAGAUCAUUUCGUGAAGGAGCAAGGCUGAAGACCCAGACCUGGACUUUCUUAGGACAAACUUACUGCAACUUGAAGGAGCCAACCAUGGAUUUGAGGCGCGUGAAGGAAUAUUUCUCCUGGCUUUACUAUCAAUACCAAAUCAUUAGCUGCUGUGCUGUUUUAGAGCCCUGGGAGCGAUCUAUGUUUAACACCAUCUUACUAACCAUUAUUGCUAUGGUGGUAUACACUGCCUAUGUCUUUAUUCCAAUCCACAUUCGCCUGGCUUGGGAAUUUUUCUCAAAAAUAUGUGGAUAUCACAGUACCAUUUCUAAUUGAUCUUGUUCACGUUCAGUGAAAUGGCAUUGCAUAUUUAUAUAUUGCUUACAACUUAUUGAUUUAGGUAACUAUUGUGUCUUCCUUCACUAUCUGACCUGAAAAGCACUCUCUUCUCUAUGCACUCUUAUAUUCUGCCUUUCUGCCUGGAGUUUGAAGUAGAUGUCUCUUUAGUUUCUUUCGCACACGCUACAUUGUGCAUCAGACCAUAGAUAAUACAGUGACUUUACCUCACAAAUCAAAUUCUCUCAACACAAAUCUAUGAAUUUAGUUUAUUUAAAAUCAGAACAAUUUCCUACAAAAUUUUUUUUGGAAAAUAAGCUCAUAACAGACCUACCAGAAUCAUACUUAAAGUCCUCCCUUGACACUUAUUCUAUACUGAAGGGUAAAUUUUUAAAAUUCUUUUUAGGCUACUGUCAGAAGUAUCCUAUCUUUGUUUAUGAUGUAUAAAAAGAUGUGAAGAAAUUAUAUGGAACCCCUAAGUCUUAUUUUCUAGUAAACUGAUGAUACUGGAAAUUCUUUUACUUCAAAUACAAAAGAAUAAGCUGGAGGCAAUUAUUUCCUUUCAUACACAGUUCAUGAAUUGUUUUAAAUGCUUCUUAAAGCCUGGCUUUAUAACCGUUUAAAAUCAACAAUGUUGAUUUUAGAUAACCAAGUAAGUAUUAUAAUACAAAAUAAUUUUAAGUGUAGGAAACUAAAGUAUAAUCAAAGUAAAUUCAGAUAUUGUGAUUUGUGGUAUUGCCUUGCCUUGCAUAAUGCUGGGGGGAAAAGAGAAAGGAAAUUGUUUUCUUUUUGUGCUUUUAUUCAGCGGAGGGGAAAAAAGCAUGUAUUGGGCCACAGGAAGAAAAGCUAAUAAGUAGGCUGGAAGUAAUAUUCUACCAGCAGGAACUCAACAGCUCCAGUUAAGUGCUUUGAUAUAGUGGCUCUUUUGCAGAGCCAAAACAAGAUUUAUUAAAUUUCCUUCAAAGUGUUUAUCUUUAAAACAAAUACAAGGUUUUAAUUAUACUGCUGAAGUGAAUGUGAAUGCCAAAGACUAAGUUUUACAGUUUUGCUUUCCUCCCAAUAAAUAUUAAUGUAUGUAAUUCUAGAGGGUAAAAAUGUAAAUAGGUUUGAACAAUAUUUGCACCCUUGUUUGUGUUAUGAAAAAAUUUUUUCCAAGGCGAGCUGGAGAGAAAGAUGUUUGGCAUGCCAAAUUAACUUGCAUGUUUGUUAAAAAAACAAACACAUGUUUUGAAGAGAAACCAGAUCUGAACAUGUAUUUGUUGAGUUUUGCAAAAUAAAAUUAAUUUUGUAAG